rnacentral:rRNA from 1 species
GAUGAACGCUGGCGGCGUGCCUAAUACAUGCAAGUCGAGCGAACAGACGAGGAGCUUGCUCCUCUGACGUUAGCGGCGGGCGGGUGAGUAACGCGUGGAUAACCUACCUAUAAGACUGGGAUAACUUCGGGAAACCGGAUCUAAUACCGGAUAAUAUAUUGAACCGCAUUGUUCAAUAGUGAAAUACGGUUUUGCUGUCACGUAUAGAUGGAUCUGCGCCGCAUUAGCUAGUUGGUACGGUAACGGCUUACCAAGGCAACGAUGCGUAGACGACCUGAGAGGGGGAUCGGCCACCCUGGAACUGAGACACGGUCCAGACUCCUACGAGAGGCAGCAGUAGGGAAUCUUACGCAAUGGGCGAAAGCUUGACGGAGCAACGACGAGUGAGUGAUGAAGGUCUUCGGAUCGUAAAACUCUGUUAUUAGGGAAGAACAAAUGUGUAAGUAACUAUGCACGUCUUGACGGUAACUAAUCAGAAAGCCACGGCUAACUACGUG